rnacentral:lncRNA from 1 species
CUUGGUGGGGGUGGAGCCCUCAUGAACGAGCUCAGUGCGCCUAUAACAGGGACCUCAGAGAGCACCCUUGCCCCUUCCACCAUGCGAGGACACAGCAAGAAGAUGGCCAUCUAUGAACCAGAAAGUGGGCCCUCGCCAGACACCGGGUCUGCUGGUUGCUUGAUCUCAGACUUCCAGCCUCCAGGCUGUGAGAAGACGCCUACCACAGCAUGGCUUGACAAGCAGUGGGUAGGUCUGCACCCAGGAUCUGAACCAGCAAACCCUGGGCUGCUGAAGUAGAACAUGCAAACUUAACUGCUGUGCCACCAGCCUGCCCCUCCUGACACUUUUGUUUUUGAAGAGGAAAUUCCAGUCACCCAGCCAGCAACAAGGACCUGCUGGUGCGUCUUCCCUGAGUCAGGUCCUUUGACGUGGGGACGUGGCUGCAGGGAGCUCCUCAGCGAAGGAUUCGUCAGCAAAGCCUGCAAGAGAGGAGAGGGGCAGGUGGGGCAGGGGAAAGAGCUGGUCCUCGGGGGUCUCGGACAGAGUCUCUGGAAUGUACGGGGUUGAGCUCUGGAGCACGGACCACACUGCAGAGAUGAAGAUCUGUUCUUCAUACCUCUACAGUCGAUCCUUGUCCGCGAUCCUCCCUGGGGAACGCGUAACUUCCUGCGCAAGGCAGCUCACGUCGAUUCAAAGCGAUUCUCUGGAGAAGGAGGCCGUGUCAGUCAUUGGCAUCCAACACUCAAGCAACCGGGAGGUGCAGCCAUUGACUCAGAACAGGGCAUCUGAGUGGGGCCCCACGGCACCUGCUACGGCGCGCCCCUGGCCUGCUCGGGCUCACCGGCUUCUCUCACCCAGGGACCAGGGGGCAGCUGUAGCUCCAUCCUGAUGACUUAGAUCAAACGCUCCGCGUUUGAAGCUCCUGAGCGGAAGACACCAGCCCCGCGCAUACCCACCACCUCGGAGCAUCGGGUCCUGAGUCGACGACUGUGAGCCAGGCUCACGCAGGUUGGUGAGGCCAUGGGACAGUGAAAUGUGAGCAGAAGUGACACAUGUCACUUCCAGGCAGAGGCGGUGAAUGGCCCAGUGUCUUUCUCGACACCGUGAACAGACGGCAUAUGAACAUGGAGGCUCCCCACCGCCCUGGGUCUCUGAGUGUCUGCGUGGAGCUGAGUGUGCAGACUCAGGAUGCUGGGAGGUGCCCUGAGGCUGCCAGUGCCCAGAGCCUAGCUCAGCCUUCCCAAGCCAUGUCCAGGGGAUGACAGGAGUCCUGGCUGGCCACUCGCUGCUCGCUCUUGGCAGAAUCCCU